ACUCCCGUGCUGAUCAGUAGUGGG
rnacentral:piRNA from 3 species